rnacentral:rRNA from 1 species
AACGAACGCUGGCGGCAGGCUUAACACAUGCAAGUCGAACGCCCCGCAAGGGGAGUGGCAGACGGGUGAGUAACGCGUGGGAAUCUACCCAGAUCUACGGAACAACAGUUGGAAACGCCUGCUAAUACCGUAUACGCCCUACGGGGGAAAGAUUUAUCGGAUUUGGAUGAGCCCGCGUAAGAUUAGCUAGUUGGUGGGGUAAUGGCCUACCAAGGCGACGAUCUUUAGCUGGUCUGAGAGGAUGAUCAGCCACACUGGGACUGAGACACGGCCCAGACUCCUACGGGAGGCAGCAGUGGGGAAUAUUGGACAAUGGGCGCAAGCCUGAUCCAGCCAUGCCGCGUGAGUGAUGAAGGCCUUAGGGUUGUAAAGCUCUUUCAGUAGGGAAGAUAAUGACGGUACCUACAGAAGAAGCCCCGGCUAACUUCGUGCCAGCAGCCGCCGUAACAC